GGGCGCUGUCCUUAGAGAUCCUCCAAGCUACAGCCCCGGAACUUGAGGCUGGGGGGCACGGGAAUGGCGUUGCCCCCCAAGUGCCAGCUCCACAGCGGGUUUCCAUCUUCUUGCUGAUGGUGGUCCUGGGGAUAUCCUUAAACAGGUCGCUGAGGACCUGGGCCAAAGCAAACAUCUGGGUGCCAUUGAUCUGGUUUUACGAGCCGUUGCUGCGCCUUCCCAAAUCUGCCCCGAUUCCUCUGGGAUGGGUGUGUGUACGUAUAGAUUUAAUAAAGCGUAAAAGAUCCGGCUCUAAGCGAGUUGUUCACAACGAUUGACUCCGCAACAAUUCAUCCUUCAACCUUCAAUGCUUAUUAAUUGCCCAUUGCUGUAUUUAUUAGCUGGCAUGAGCGGGGUAUCCACAAUAACAUCGGUAGCAUGUGCGAAUAAAAGCAACGCGAAGAUAUUUA